rnacentral:rRNA from 1 species
UACGUAGGGAGCAAGCGUUGUCCGGAAUCAUUGGGCGUAAAGCGCGCGUAGGCGGCCCUGUAAGUCCGUUGUGAAAGUCAAAGGCUCAACCUUUGAAAGCCGAUGGAUACUGCAGGGCUAGAGUCCGGAAGAGGCGACUGGAAUUCCUGGUGUAGCGGUGAAAUGCGCAGAUAUCAGGAGGAACACCGGUGGCGAAGGCGGGUCUCUGGGCCGAUACUGACGCUGAGGAGCGAAAGCGUGGGGAGCGAACAGG